rnacentral:rRNA from 1 species
UACGAAGGGUGCAAGCGUUACUCGGAAUUACUGGGCGUAAAGCGUGCGUAGGUGGUGAGUUAAGUCUGUCGUGAAAGCCCCGGGCUCAACCUGGGAAUGGCGAUGGAUACUGGCUCGCUAGAGUGCGGUAGAGGGUGGUGGAAUUCCGCGUGUAGCAGUGAAAUGCGUAGAUAUGCGGAGGAACACCGAUGGCGAAGGCAAUCCCCUGGACCUGUACUGACGCUCAUGCACGAAAGCGUGGGGAGCAAACAGG